UAUUGAUGCAGAUAAAAAACUUAUGCUGUACACUUGCCUAACCGAAUUAACGUUUAAGCGGCCUGUGUGGUCGUCGGUGGUAAGGAGAUUGAGGACGGGUUAUCCGUCCUCUUCUUUUAUA
rnacentral:sRNA from 26 species